rnacentral:rRNA from 1 species
CCUACGGGAGGCCGCAGUGAGGAAUAUUGGUCAAUGGGCGCGAGCCUGAACCAGCCAAGUAGCGUGACGGAUGACUGCCCUACGGGUUGUACACUUCUUUUAUAAAGGCAUACAGUGAGGCACGUGUGCCUUUUUGUAUGUACUUUAUGAAUAAGGAUCGGCUAACUCCGUGCCAGCAGCCGCGGUAAUACGGAGGAUCCGAGCGUUAUCCGGAUUUAUUGGGUUUAAAGGGAGCGUAGAUGGGUUGUUAAGUCAGUUGUGAAAGUUUGCGGCUCAACCGUAAAAUUGCAAUUGAUACUGGCAGUCUUGAGUACAGUUGAGGUAGGCGGAAUUCGUGGUGUAGCGGUGAAAUGCUUAGAGAUCACGAAGAACUCCGAUUGCGAAGGCAGCUUACUAAACUGCCACUGACAUUGAUGCUCGAAAGUGUGGGUAUCAAACAGGAUUAGAUACCCGGGUAGUC